AUUGAACGCUGGCGGCAGGCUUAACACAUGCAAGUCGAGCGGAAGAAGGGAGCUUGUGUCUGGUUCUAGCGGCGGACGGGGGUGAAUAGCAUAGGAAUAUGCUUGGUAGUGGGUGAUAAUGUCUGCAAAAGGGUGGUAAUACUGCAUACGACGAGCGGGUGAAAGAGGGGGAUCUUCGGACCUCUUGCUAUGAGAUGAGUCUAGGUCGGGUUAGUUAGAUGGUGGGGUAAAGGCCUACCUAGGCGAGCAUUCGUAACUGGUCUGAGAGGAUGAUUAGUCACACUGGAACGUAGACACGGACCAGGCGCCUACGAGAGGCAGCAGUGGGGAAUGUUAGGCAGCAGGCGGAAGCCUGGUCCAGCCGUGCCACGUGUGUGGAAGAGAUCUUCGGAGUGUAAAGCACUUUAAGUUGGGGUGAAGGGCAGUAGGUUAAUACCUUGCUGUUUUGACGGUACCAACAGAAUAAGCACCGGCUAACUUCGUG
rnacentral:rRNA from 1 species